UACGAAGGGGGCUAGCGUUGUUCGGAUUUACUGGGCGUAAAGCGCGCGUAGGCGGAUUGGUCAGUUAGAGGUGAAAUCCUGGAGCUCAACUCCAGAACUGCCUUUAAUACUGCCAGUCUCGAGUCCGGAAGAGGUGAGUGGAACUCCUAGUGUAGAGGUGGAAUUCGUAGAUAUUAGGAAGAACACCAGUGGCGAAGGCGGCUCACUGGUCCGGUACUGACGCUGAGGUGCGAAAGCGUGGGGAGCAAAC
rnacentral:rRNA from 1 species